rnacentral:rRNA from 1 species
AGAGUUUGAUCCUGGCUCAGGAUGAACGCUAGCUACAGGCUUAACACAUGCAAGUCGAGGGGCAGCAUGACCUAGCAAUAGGUUGAUGGCGACCGGCGCACGGGUGAGUAACACGUAUCCAACCUGCCGAUUAUUCCGGGAUAGCCUUUCGAAAGAAAGAUUAAUACUGGAUAGCAUAACGAGAAGGCAUCUUCUUGUUAUUAAAGAAUUUCGAUAAUCGAUGGGGAUGCGUUCCAUUAGUUUGUUGGCGGGGUAACGGCCCACCAAGACAUCGAUGGAUAGGGGUUCUGAGAGGAAGGUCCCCCACAUUGGAACUGAGACACGGUCCAAACUCCUACGGGAGGCAGCAGUGAGGAAUAUUGGUCAAUGGACGAGAGUCUGAACCAGCCAAGUAGCGUGAAGGAUGACUGCCCUAUGGGUUGUAAACUUCUUUUAUAUGGGAAUAAAGUGAGCCACGUGUGGCUUUUUGUAUGUACCAUACGAAUAAGGAUCGGCUAACUCCGUGCCAGCAGCCGCGGUAAUACGGAGGAUCCGAGCGUUAUCCGGAUUUAUUGGGUUUAAAGGGAGCGUAGGCGGAUUAUUAAGUCAGUUGUGAAAGUUUGCGGCUCAACCGUAAAAUUGCAGUUGAUACUGGUAAUCUUGAGUGCAGCAGAGGUAGGCGGAAUUCGUGGUGUAGCGGUGAAAUGCUUAGAUAUCACGAAGAACUCCGAUUGCGAAGGCAGCUUACUGGACUGUAACUGACGCUGAUGCUCGAAAGUGUGGGUAUCAAACAGGAUUAGAUACCCUGGUAGUCCACACAGUAAACGAUGAAUACUCGCUGUUUGCGAUAUACAGCAAGCGGCCAAGCGAAAGCAUUAAGUAUUCCACCUGGGGAGUACGCCGGCAACGGUGAAACUCAAAGGAAUUGACGGGGGCCCGCACAAGCGGAGGAACAUGUGGUUUAAUUCGAUGAUACGCGAGGAACCUUACCCGGGCUUAAAUUGCAACUGACGGAUUUGGAAACAGAUCUUCCUUCGGGCAGUUGUGAAGGUGCUGCAUGGUUGUCGUCAGCUCGUGCCGUGAGGUGUCAGCUUAAGUGCCAUGACGAGCGCAACCCUUAUCUUUAGUUACUAACAGGUCAUGCUGAGGACUCUAGAGAGACUGCCGUCGUAAGAUGUGAGGAAGGUGGGGAUGACGUCAAAUCAGCACGGCCCUUACGUCCGGGGCUACACACGUGUUACAAUGGGGGGUACAGAAGGCAGCUACACAGCGAUGUGAUGCUAAUCCCAAAAGCCUCUCUCAGUUCGGAUUGGAGUCUGCAACCCGACUCCAUGAAGCUGGAUUCGCUAGUAAUCGCGCAUCAGCCACGGCGCGGUGAAUACGUUCCCGGGCCUUGUACACACCGCCCGUCAAGCCAUGAAAGCCGGGGGUACCUGAAGUACGUAACCGCAAGGAGCGUCCUAGGGUAAAACUGGUAAUUGGGGCUAAGUCGUAACAAGGUA